AAGACUUUUUGGGGGUUUAGCUCAGUUGGUUUAGAGCAUCGGCUUUGCAAGCCGGGGGUCAAGGGUUCGAGUCCCUUAACCUCCAUUUGUUUAUUGCAAAAAUGAAUGGAGGUUGUGCCUUCUAAAUAUCAGCUUGAGCUUUAUCAAUUUAAAUUGUCUUUAAUAAUUAAAAAUAAUCUAAUUGAAAUUUUGAUGUCCAGAUAAAACAUUUCUUUUUUAAAAGUUUUUCUUAAGUUUAAUAAUUUAUUAGGUCAAGAGAUUGCAUCUAUAGGAUAGAUUAUAAAAAAUAACGAUAUGUUAUCCAUGUUAUUUUUAAGUUAUCUUAUUUAGAUUAAUUUAAGUUUUUGUGGCUUGUAGGAAAUAAUAUUACUUUGUGUAAAGUUUAAUAUGUUUGAUGUUUGUGUCUAUCUUUAAUGAAUCAAUAUAAUACAUGGUUUAAUAUUUGAGCUUGUAGUUUUGAUUAUUAUAUUACCCGUUCUUUAUGGUUUAGUUAUAAAUUUUUUGCAUAUAUGUGAAAUUUGAUUAAAGCUUAAAAAUCCGUCUUGAUUGUUUU
rnacentral:tRNA from 1 species